GUGUGUGUGUGUGUGUGUGUGUGUGUGUGUGUGUGUGUGUGUCUAGGUGUCUAGAGAUUAAAUCCAAGGCUUGCUAAGUAAGCACUGUACUGUGGAACUACAUCUCCAGCUUUUAUCCUUAAAACUCUUUAUGUAACUUAUUCAUGACUCAUUGUAUUUCAGAGAAGUCUUGACCAGCACCAGUUGGGUACUUUAUACAAUACUAAUAAUGAUCAUGAUGGAAAGGUCACAGAACCUUUGUCCUUGAGAUACUUGUUCCCAAUUAUAGAAUGGAAGUUGAUUUAAAUUGCUGUAGUCCUAAACAAUCAAAUAGCUCCCUAACUCUUCUGACUUAGACGCUGAGAUCUUUAUUAGCAUGUUGUGUCUAGAUAGGAAGGACAAUCAUGCAUUAUUAAGAUUGCAAUUAUGUCCCUUGAGAUGCCCCUCAGAACAACUAAGGAAGACAGGUAUGAACGUUUUAUUCACCGACCUUGCGAAUGUCUACCACUCUGCCUCUACUGACUCCCCUGAGGUUCCCUAAGGAAAGUCAGCUUCUGGGGUAGAGUUCUGUCAAAGGUGUCCAACCCAUGACCCAUGUAUCAAACUUGUUUAAGGGUACCUAGAAUGUAGCUCAUAUAAAAUUAUAAACAUAUUUAAAAGUAUUAAGAGAUUUGUGUGUACAUAUAUUUCCCCCAACCCCAGCGGGGUUGUAACUCAAUUGCACAAUUCUUCCGGGUGAACUCUAGAUGACCACGUUGUAUUACACUGUGAAAAGGCUGGACGUGCCAUCAUCAGGUCAAUCACUCUUCAGUGUGUCGACACGGGAGACUGGCCUGGGGCUUGCAGACCUCCUCUUGUUGGUGUCCCCAGUGUUGGGCUGUAGUCUAGUGCCACCACAUGUCAUGCUGCUCCGUCACCUAACAGACACUGAGUCCCAGUGAGCUUAAAAGCAGUGCUCAGCUCACUGUAGUUUUCUGUGUUACGACUCAUGUCAGCUGCUGUUUCCAUCUCAGGAAGCCUCAACACCACUUCCAAAACCUUGUCAUCUCCGAGAUAAGCAAUUAAAGCGUACAGUUUGUGACUCUGGCAUUGGCCUUGUUCCCUGUACAAUUAAUGCUCUGAUGGUUCAUUCAUGUCAUGUGUGUCAGCACGUAAUUUCUUUUUGUUGCCAAACACUAUCCUAUGGCAUGGAUGCUCUACAGACUUGCUCCUCGCCCCAUGAGCAGAGUGCAGGUGUAAAGCCCAGUGGGAAAGCAGUUGAUGAUGUCACGUUGCGUUGGGUGAUAGUUGAUGAUGUCAUGUUGUUCUGGGUGAUGGUUGAUGAUGUCAUGUGUUGCUGGAUGAUAGUUGAUGAUGUCACGUUGUGCUGGGUGAUGAUAGUUGAUGAUGUCAGGUUGUGCUUGGUGAUCAGUAGUCCAGGCUCCGUGGAAGAAGAGGAUCAGAUGAGGGUGUGAGAGACCCCACUCAUCACCCUCCUCAUCUUCUGUAAUCUGAGUAAUUCUGUUUCCCCUCACAAAUCCAUAGCUUGAAGCCAUCACUUGAAGCCAGAAUAAUGGUGUUUAAAAAGUGGGGUUUGGGAGAAAUAAAAGAGAUGCCCAGC
rnacentral:lncRNA from 1 species